CCUACGGGAGGCAGCAGUGAGGAAUAUUGGUCAAUGGCCGCAGGGCUGAACCAGCCAAGUCGCGUGAGGGAUGACGGUCCGAUGGAUUGUAAACCUCUUUUGUCAGGGAGCAAAGGGCGCCACGUGUGGCGUUUUGCGAGUACCUGAAGAAAAAGCAUCGGCUAACUCCGUGCCAGCAGCCGCGGUAAUACGGAGGAUGCGAGAGUGAUCCGGAUUUAUUGGGUGUAAAGGGUGCGUAGGCGGGCUGUUAAGUCCGCGGUAAAAGCCCGGGGCUCAACCCCGGCGAGCCGUUGAAACUGGCUGUCUUGAGCUGUCUAGAGGUAUGCGGAAUGCGCAGUGUAGCGG
rnacentral:rRNA from 1 species